rnacentral:rRNA from 1 species
CUCGUAGGUUGCCAACUAAGUCAGACGUGAAAUCCCUCGGCUUAACCGGGGAACUGCGUCUGAUACUGGAUGGCUUGAGUUUGGGAGAGGGACGCGGAAUUCCAGGUGUAGCGGUGAAAUGCGUAGAUAUCUGGAGGAACACCGGUGGCGAAGGCGGCGUCCUGGACCAACACUGACACUGAGGAGCGAAAGCCAGGGGAGCAAACG